GGCUGGGAACCAGCUCACAGCUCUCCCUCUCUCAUCCAACCCCACCCCACUCCCAGCUUGCCGUCUUUCAGGCUCAAAUGUCCUGAGUUCCGACGUUUCAUCCUGGGGCUGUAGGCUUAGCCAGAGCAAACAGACAGCAGAAAGUCAACAAAACAAGAAAGGAAGCAGCACAGAUGACGUGGAAAAGAAAACUUGGAAGCCACAAUGAAGAACCAGAUUUACUCAACGGUGACAGUGACAGGAACUGAAUGUGAACAGAACAGAAAGGGGAACUGCUUAUGUUGAAGACAACAUCUAACCCAGUGCAAUGUGUUUGGAUCCUGACUCAAACAAACCAACAAAUCAAGACAUUUGGAAACAGUAGCCCGUGAGCCACAACUAUUGAGCCCAUGUGCCGCAACUACUGAAGCCCAUGCGCCUGGAGCCUGUGCUCUGCAACAAGACAGGCCACCACAAUGAGAAGCUGGAGCACCACAAGGAAAAGCAGCCCCCAGUCGCCGCAGCUAGAGAGAGCCCAUGUGCAACAACAAAGGCCCAACACAGCCAAUUAAAUAAAUAAAUAAAUAAAUAAAUAAAUAAAUAAUGCACUAAAGGGGUAUGAAGCCUGUCUCCAGGUGUUGGGAAUGGGCAUCUGAGCUGGCCUGACUUCAGGGAACUCACCUCUGUCCAGUCCACUGCCUCCAUCUCAGCUCCUCUGACAUCCACA